rnacentral:misc_RNA from 1 species
AAAAAACCAUCACGACUUGGUCUCGGAGUUCGCUCCGAUCGACUUUGAGAAGUGGAUUUGGAUUGUCCUGCCAUUCGCAGGCAGUCUCAAAUAAGAGCGUUGGAAGCUGGAUCUCCUCUUCUGGGAUCGCUGCCCGAAAUGUUAUGAAUUGAGAUCUCUCCCUUUCGAGGUGAGGGAGUUCUUCAUUUUUCUUUCUUGCAGCUUUGAGCCUGGUGGAGAACCGGUCGACCGAUUUCACCCACUACCACACGAGGGGUCGAGAGCGGCUGUCUCACGAUUCGUCGAAU